rnacentral:tRNA from 1 species
GGUGUAGCUCAGUGGGUAGAGUGUGCACUUAACAUGUGCAAAGCCCUGGAUUCAAUCCCUAGCAAUAACCA